AUUCCGGUUGAUCCUGGCGGAGGACAUUGCUAUUGGGAUUCGAUUUAGCCAUGCUAGUCGAGCGAGUUCAGAUUCGCGGCGAAUAGCUCAGUAACACGUGGCCAAGCUCCCCUUCAGUCAGCGAUACCCUCGGGAAACUGAGGUUAACAGCUGAUACAAAUCCGCCAGCUGGAAUGCGGCGUUUCAGAAAGACACCGCUGAAGGAUGCGGCUGCGGCCGAUUAGGUAGACGGUGGGGUAACGGCCCACCGUGCCAGUAAUCGGUACGGGUGAUGAGAGUCAGAGCCCGGAGACGCAAUCUGACACAAGAUUCCGGGCCCUAUGGGGGGCAGCAGGCGCGAAACCUUUACACUGCACGCA
rnacentral:rRNA from 1 species